UUCCCCGCUUCGGGCCUCCGGGCUGGCCCCACCCCUGGCUGACAGAUGAAGGAUGCUUAUCUCAUGAAACCCCACGAGGCCCUCUGCAGGGCCCCCCAACGUCAAAAAUAAGGACCCCAGUGUUUGCUCCCCGAAGCUCAGGGCCUUUGCACAUGCCAUGGUUUCUGCCUGGGAUUCUCUUCCUCGGCAGUCUUCACGGAGCCGUCCCCCGAUCCUGCACACCUUUGCCUCAAGCACACCUUCUCAACCAGGCCUUUGCUCACCACCCCACAGAGGAAGGAAGGCACUCCUCACCAAACUCAUUACUCCUGGUUCCUUGAGAUGUAAGUAAGACAACGUCAGAGUUGAACAGGGCGGGCCCUAAAUCCAGUGCUCAGUGUCCUCAUACAAAGGGGGACAUUUAGACACAGAAUAGAGAAGGCCAAGGGAUGACAGAGGCAAGGGCUGGAGUGACGUGGUCACAGGCCGAGGGACAUGAGGAUGGCCGGCAGCACCAGAGGCUGGAAGAGAUGAGAAAGACCCUGCCCUGGAGCCCCCGGAGGGCAGGCGUUCAGCCCUCCAGCCUCCAGACGUGACAGGACCCGCUUCUGUGGCUUAGAGCAGCCCAGGGAGCAGAUUCAGGCAGCUGUCUCCCUGUCUCCUCUGCCCUCCGGUGAGUCCUCUGCUUUGCUUAUCUGUUUCCCGGUGUCCUUCUGGGCCUUGGAUGCCCGCAUGUGGGGGUGGGAGCGGGCUGAUCUGCAGAAUGGUGGCCGGUUGGCCUGGGUUUCACGGGCCUUCGUGUGGCGGGCCUGGAAGGGCUUGGAAAGGUCUGGAAGGGCCCAGAGGGGGCUGGAAGGGCCCGGAAGGGGCUGGAAGUGUCUGGAAUGGCCUGGAAGGAGCUGACAGGUCCUGGAAGGACCUGGAAGGGGCUGGCAGGGCCUGGAAGGGGCUGGAAGGGCCUGGAAGGGCCUGGAAGGAGCUGACAGGUCCUGGAAGGACCUGGAAGGGGCUGGAAGGGCCUGGAAGGGCCCAGAAGGGGCCAGAAGGGCCUGGAAGGGCCCGGAAGGGGCCGGAAGGGCCUGGAAGGGCCUGGAGGGGGCCGGGGCAGUCGGCCAGAACUCACCCCGCACACCCCAGACUCCCUACUGGCCCGAGGGUUUUUUUAGCCUUGAGAAUUGAAAGGCAGCUGCCGUGUGGCCCUGGUUCCCGCCUUUCCCACGAAAGCCUUGGAGGUGAUGCCACUGUCCCAUCUCUGGGCCACCGCAGGAGGCCACAGGCCGCCUCAGCUCCUACAGCCAGCGUCCCAGGCCUGGAGCUGCACAUCAGUGUGUGCCUUUGGAAGGUAACGUGUGGGUCAGCCUGGAGCUCAGGAACGAGGGGCCUUCCCCAUGCAGCGUCCCCAGCGGGGGGAGGAUGUGCACCCCCAACCCCGUGACUGCCCGGGUUUCCCUCUAGGGAAGUCGAUGCUCAAGUCUGCAGGACCCCUUUCCAGUGGCCUGAGGGCACCCAGUGCCCCUGGACGUCUUGCUUUGAGACUUCCAGGGGCCGCUGAGGCUGCAGCCCAGAGAGAUGAUGCCCUGGGGCCGGUGGCCCCCCAGGAGGCCUUUCGGCCUGACAAUCCGGGUGUCUGGUGCCGGGGCCGAGGACAAGCAAGGCCGCGGGGCGUGUCUACGUCCCCUUUCAGGGCCGAGCGCCCGGUGCCCGUGGCCUGCCCCCCUCCCUUCCUGGGAAUGUGCCGGGGGGAGGGAAGGGGCACAACCGUGUCCUUUAUUCUCUGGGCCCGGGCACUGGGCUGACCGACCCCUCGCUGCGGGGCCCCGCGUCCAGCCGGCGGGCAGCUGGGAAAGGCCUCGCUGAUCUCGGAGGACGCUGCGGCCGUGAGUGGGCCUGAGGACAGAGGCUCCUCUGUGCUGGAAUAAGCCGUGUGGAAGACGUUGCCGGCCACGGUGAGCACAGGUGCCUUUUCCUUCACAGAGACUGCGAUCCUGGCUGGUGACUGCAAGUCCCUUCCCACGCCAGAACCCCGCCCGGCUCCUCGGACCCCACGAAAGCCACCUUGCGUCGGGCCAUUUUGCCCCAAGUGAGGACACGUCUCGGUUUGGGGAAGACAUUCGCUGCCGCGAGAAGGAAGGUUAACGAUUCCCAAAAUAGCUUCUCUGCAAAUAAGCAACAGGCUCGCUUGGCCCCAGAUGAAUCUGAGGGCAAUUUCAAAAGCAUCUCUUUUCCCAGAAAACAGAUUCCUCAUUGACACAUGUUUCUCCAGUUGAUUCUUGCCCCCCACCCCCUGCCUUUUCCCCCGUCUUUUGUGCAAGGAGCUGGGUUGCAGAGACAAAGUCCGCUUGUCAGCGGCUGGUCCUCUCUGCUCUCCCUUCCUCCGGGCGCCCCGACAACAGGGCUAUUAUCAGACAGCUCCCUCGUGGCUUGGAUUUUCCUCUCCCCUCAGGGCGAACGAGGAGAAAGGUUGCCAGGCUGAACAAGGACGGGAGGCACUGGAGCCCCGGGGCGGCGAGCUCCGGGAAGGGCCGCGGUGGGGGGCCCUGGACACUGCCACUCUGUCGCUGGAGUGACUUGGAAGCACAGCCAUUCAUCAGACUCAUGAUUCGCAUGAUCUGUCCUCCGAGAACGGAAGCGUGUCCCCCAGAGACAGGCCUCUCGUGCUGCCUCCUCGCCUGGAGCUCUGGGGUGAACCCCACAUCUGACCAUCGGGGUCAAGACCUCACAGCCACCUCAUCAGUCACAUCUGGGGGGAAAAUGACCUGGAAACAUUCAAACGCUUCCCCCAAGCGACGCCUCCCUGGGGAAACACACUUCACUUGAGGGUAUUAAGAGAAUGCAGAGGCUCAAUGCCCCAGAUUUGGGUCCGGGGAUCUUGUUUCAAGAUCAACUUCUGUUUCUUCUCUUUUGUGGCUACCAGCACUGCCGUGGCAGGGACCCCAGGCCUCCUCUCCCCAUGCUCCCGUCAGAGCCCAUUCGGGCCCCUCAGAGGCACUGCCGUUCCCAGAAUCCAUGUGGGAACUUGCCUGCGGUGAGGGUCCUUACAGCAAAUCGUCUAUCCGUCCGUCCAUCCACCCAUCUACGCGUCCACGUGUGCAGCCCAUCUUCUACCGAGAGGGUGUUCAGGCUAGGCCUUGGGGAUUGAGAGGCGAGUCCUGACAUUUCCCAUCUCUGCAGCCCCAAAUCCAGUGCAAGUGCUGAUUUCUGACCAGGGAACAGGCGCAGGGGCCUCUGUGAGUCCCGGGGGGCCGAGAGGUUGCGGGGAAACUCUGGACCAGACACUUCUACAGCUGCCAGGGGGAAGGCGUCGUCCCCCAGUUCGUCUGUUGGACAUUAAAUCUUGUUUUCUUCCUGCCUCACACCCCUGGGGAGGGCCGUGUGUCGUCUUGGGGAGGGUGGGGGCUGUUCUGCUAGAGAGACAGCUCCUUGAGUGUGCAAGGCAAGCUAUCCACCUCAACUCCAUGCUCUGGUGGAAGGAGAGAGGCCACCGGGCGGACUUCCUGCUGUGAGUCCCCGGAAUUUAGGGGCUGAAACUUGCACUUGAGUGGGUGAAGGUGGGGGGCACGUAAAGGAGGGGCGAGGAGCCCCCCUGAAGCCCCAGACAUCUGUUCAGUCCCAGUCCACCUGGCCGUCGCCUGGUGGGCAGGCUCAGGUCCCGACUGGAGACAGUGCAAGGACAGCAGGCAUAGCCACUGUGGAGGGCUGGCCGGUGAGGAAGGCUAGUCAGUGGGGAGGUCCAGUCUUAGGAACGGCUGUGUUUAGGAUUGGCCUUAUGGGAUGGGCUUCUCCACCGCCAAGAGACGUCAUACAAGAGUUUCCGGUGGCCGGCUCGGGGCCCAGGUGCAGCUGGAGGCAGACAGGCCUGGAGGUGGACAGGCCUGGGGGCCAAAGUGCCUCGGGGGAGACGCACUUAGGGGAGAGCCCGCCUGGAGAUCACCACUCUCACCGCCGUGCCAUCCAGAGUGGUGGCACCUUCACUGAGAUUGUUUUCUGGGAAAUGUGACUAGCGAGGGUGCCUGCCCUGGCGGUGGUGUUGAGAUGAUGGCCUUGCACGUGUCGCAGCCUGUCCCCGGGGACCCUUGACCCAGGCUGGCGAGCCUUGCCGCUGGCCACGCUCCGACCCCAAGUCCUUCCCCAACCCGGGGGCCUCUGUUGCCCCUCAGUGAAGCUCGCGGGCACCGAGACUUAGAAAAGCACACAGAUUUAUUGCGUAUCAAUCUCAUGUAUAAAUUCAUUGUAGCAUCGGAAAGAUUACAUAUAGUCCUAUUCUACAGCAUUAACCUCCGAUCGGCCGCUCUAGCCUUCAUCUUAAAGACGUUUCUCGACACAAGUACAUCUGUCUUUAUCACAAGCAUCAAAACGAAAUCUGCAGAAUCACUCUCGAUGAUUUGCUACACGGGGUGUCUUUGACUUCACGGUCGUCAGCGAUUUCCGCGUCGAUUAAGAACUGCGCUUUGGCGUGAGCAGUUCUGAGCUCCUAGUCCGGAGGACGUAGACCCUAAUCACGUAAUUCAACAAGUGCAUCUACGGAAUUCUCCUUUUCAUAAAAAUUUCACGAACAGACACAGUAAUGACCGCUAAACACGAGCCAUGCACGGUUUACUGGUAACAGAAGCAAUUUACAAUCAGGGGGACAUGGGACACACACCUGCCUCCUUCUCAAUGGUUUUUUUUUAAAAACAUUAUCUGAAAGCCUGACAUUUACACUUGAUUUCUUUUUCAACACUAUACAGUUCUAAAAGAAAAACGAAACAAAAACCCAGAAAACAAACUGAACUGAAUCUGUAAUGGAGCAAGGGCAAGGGGGGGGGGGGCGUCUUGCCAGCAGUUACAUAUGCACACGUGAUGUGUUCUGACACGGGGGCUCAGCUUCCCUCGUCUCGGGAACACCGACGGUAGGAAACACACCGAGAGACACCUUGGGAAGUGCUCUGCUCACGAGUGAAUUGCACGAUUGGAAACUCAAGCUGCCUUUUGCUUUGUUUUCUUUUCUUUCUUUUCCCAAAGCCGUAGUACGAAUCGGGGACAGAAAGGAAAAACACCACAAAACUGGAAUGCAGGGAGGGAAGGAAGGCUCCUGGACUCACGCAGGAAUGUCUUGUCACAGUAUUGCUCGCUGCUGCACAGACAGUUUCAUGGCUUUUGAUUCCCGGCUGACCUCCACCGACCGGGAGCGGCCGCGGCCUCGCCACCCUAGCCGGGCCGGGCGCGAGGUACCCGGCUCUCCUGGGUGGCGCUGCCCCCUCGCCUCUCUCCCGGGCAGCACAGUAAAUACAGCUCAGUAGAUUUCAGUCACUUGGGCAGGGGGACGAGGGA